rnacentral:rRNA from 1 species
UUUGACGUUAGCGACAGAAGAAGCACCGGCUAACUCCGUGCCAGCAGCCGCGGUAAUACGGAGGGUGCGAGCGUUAAUCGGAAUUACUGGGCGUAAAGCGCAUGCAGGUGGUUUGUUAAGUCAGAUGUGAAAGCCCGGGGCUCAACCUCGGAAUUGCAUUUGAGAGAUCUGAAGGAAUACCGGUGGCGAAGGCGGCCCCCUGGACAGAUACUGACACUCAGAUGCGAAAGCGUGGGGAGCAAACAGGAUUAGAUACCCUGGUAGUCCACGCCGUAAACGAUGUCUACUUGGAGGUUGUGG